rnacentral:rRNA from 1 species
GAUGAACGCUGGCGGCGUGCUUAACACAUGCAAGUCGAACGGAAAGGCCCUGCUUUUGUGGGGUGCUCGAUUGGCGAACGGGUGAGUAACACGUGAGUAACAUCUACUUGACUUUGGGAUAACUUCAGGAAACUGGGGCUCUUACCGGAUAGGAGCUCCUGCUGCAUGGUGGGGGUUGGUAAGUUUCGGCGGUUGGGGAUGGACUCGCGGCUUCUUAGCUUGUUGGUGGGGUAGUGGCUUACCAAGGGUUUGAUGGGUAGCCGACCUGAGAGGGUGACCGGCCACACUGGAACGGAGACACGGUCCAGACUCCUACGGGAGGAAGCAGUAGGGAAUCUUCCGCAAUGGGCGAAAGCCUGACGGAGCAACGCCGCGUGAGUGAUGAAGGUCUUCGGAUCGUAAAACUCUGUUAUUAGGGAAGAAAAAAUGUGUAAGUAACUAUGCACGUCUUGACGGUACCUAAUCAGAAAGCCACGGCUAACUACGUG